GACGAACGCUGGCGGCGUGCUUAACACAUGCAAGUCGAACGGAAAGGCCCUGCUUUUGUGGGGUGCUCGAGUGGCGAACGGGUGAGUAACACGUGAGUAACCUGCCCUUGACUUUGGGAUAACUUCAGGAAACUAGGGCUAAUACCGGAUAGGAGCUCCUGCUGCAUGGUGGGGGUUGGAAAGUUUCGGCGGUUGGGGAUGGACUCGCGGCUUAUCAGCUUGUUGGUGGGGUAGUGGCUUACCAAGGCUUUGACGGGUAGCCGGCCUGAGAGGGUGACCGGCCACAUUGGGACUGAGAUACGGCCCAGACUCCUACGGGAGGCAGCAGUGGGGAAUAUUGCACAAUGAGCGGAAGCCUGAUGCAGCAACGCCGCGUGCGGGAUGACGGCCUUCGGGUUGUAAACCGCUUUCGCCUGUGACGAAGCGUGAGUGACGGUAAUGGGUAAAGAAGCACCGGCUAACUACGUG
rnacentral:rRNA from 1 species